rnacentral:rRNA from 1 species
CCCACAAGGCCUUUACUGACGCUAAAGCUCGAAGGUGCGGGUAUCGAACAGGAUUAGAUACCCUGGUAGUCCGCACGGUAAACGAUGGAUGCCCGCUGUUUGCGAUAUAUUGUAAGCGGCCAAGAGAAAUCGUUAAGCAUCCCACCUGGGGAGUACGCCGGCAACGGUGAAACUCAAAGGAAUUGACGGGGGCCCGCACAAGCGGAGGAACAUGUGGUUUAAUUCGAUGAUACGCGAGGAACCUUACCCGGGCUUGAACUGCAGCGGAAGGAAACAGAGAUGUUGACGCCCUUCGGGGCCGCUGUGGAGGUGCUGCAUGGUUGUCGUCAGCUCGUGCCGUGAGGUGUCGGCUUAAGUGCCAUAACGAGCGCAACCCUUUUCGCCAGUUGCCAUCAGGUGAUGCUGGGCACUCUGGGGACACUGCCACCGUAAGGUGUGAGGAAGGUGGGGAUGACGUCAAAUCAGCACGGCCCUUACGUCCGGGGCUACACACGUUUGACGGGGGGUGGUACAGAGAGCCGGCAACCCGCAAGGUCCGUCCAAUCAAAAAAGCCAUCCUCAGUUCGGAUUGGGGUAUGCAACCCGACCCCAUGAAGCAAGA